UAAAAUACCAUUCGUUAUUAUUAACGACUCACUUUAUUUACCAGCAGGUGGUGACUGGUCAACGUAAUGAGAGACCUAACUUGAAAGGGAUCUCUGAUGGAUGCCAGAAGAAAUCAUGGGUGUUACCCGGCAAAGCUGUAGCAUCUAUUCAGCCACAAGGACCAAGUGUAGGCAGUGAAAGUGAUAUGUUGCAAGUUCCUUUUGCACAAGGUGGGAACCCAGGAUAUUGUCAAGUCCAGGUCCUCGUGGCUGAACAAUUCGAAGGAGAAUUUAACCAACUCCAAGAUGCUGUU